rnacentral:rRNA from 2 species
AGAGUUUGAUCAUGGCUCAGAGUGAACGCUGGCGGUAGGCCUAACACAUGCAAGUCGAACGGCAGCACAGGAGAGCUUGCUCUCUGGGUGGCGAGUGGCGGACGGGUGAGGAAUACAUCGGAAUCUACCUUUUCGUGGGGGAUAACGUAGGGAAACUUACGCUAAUACCGCAUACGACCUACGGGUGAAAGUGGGGGACCGCAAGGCCUCACGCGAUUAGAUGAGCCAAUGUCCGAUUAGCUAGUUGGCGGGGUAAUGGCCCACCAAGGCGACGAUCGGUAGCUGGUCUGAGAGGAUGAUCAGCCACACUGGAACUGAGACACGGUCCAGACUCCUACGGGAGGCAGCAGUGGGGAAUAUUGGACAAUGGGCGCAAGCCUGAUCCAGCCAUACCGCGUGGGUGAAGAAGGCCUUCGGGUUGUAAAGCCCUUUUGUUGGGAAAGAAAUCCUGUCGAUUAAUACUCGGUGGGGAUGACGGUACCCAAAGAAUAAGCACCGGCUAACUUCGUGCCAGCAGCCGCGGUAAUACGAAGGGUGCAAGCGUUACUCGGAAUUACUGGGCGUAAAGCGUGCGUAGGUGGUCGUUUAAGUCCGUUGUGAAAGCCCUGGGGCUCAACCUGGGAACUGCAGUGGAUACUGGAUGACUAGAAUGUGGUAGAGGGUAGCGGAAUUCCUGAUGUAGCAGUGAAAUGCGCAGAGAUCACGAGGAACAUCCAUGGCGAAGCAGCUACCUGGACCAAC